UGGGGAAUAUUGCACAAUGGGCGCAAGCCUGAUGCAGCCAUGCCGCGUGUAUGAAGAAGGCCUUCGGGUUGUAAAGUACUUUCAGUCGGGAGGAAGGUGGUAAGGUUAAUAACCUUAUCAAUUGACGUUACCGACAGAAGAAGCACCGGCUAACUCCGUGCCAGCAGCCGCGGUAAUACGGAGGGUGCAAGCGUUAAUCGGAAUUACUGGGCGUAAAGCGCACGCAGGCGGUCUGUCAAGUCGGAUGUGAAAUCCCCGGGCUCAACCUGGGAACUGCAUUCGAAACUGGCAGGCUAGAGUCUCGUAGAGGGGGGUAGAAUUCCAGGUGUAGCGGUGAAAUGCGUAGAGAUCUGGAGGAAUACCGGUGGCGAAGGCGGCCCCCUGGACGAAGACUGACGCUCAGGUGCGAAAGCGUGGGGAGCAAACAGG
rnacentral:rRNA from 1 species